GGAGAAAGCCCCUGCUCUCCUGAGAGCUGUUCUCUAAUUUUGCUGGCAGAGAGCAUUGGAUCAGUGAUCAGAAAGUUAAAAUGGCAGAUGUUGGGGCUUCUAGGGGGAGGGGAGGCAGAUACCUGAUACUCUCCGGCAUUUGUUUUUUUAUCCUUCCCCUUACCUUCCUUUCUCGGAUCACAAUAUCCUUCCCCUUACCUUCCUUUCUCAGAUCACAAAACAGAGCUGGCGUCCACUUUUCUAAGGUCACACAGCCAAAUGCUGGCACAACAGUAAACAAACAAACAAACAAAAAACAACCAUCCCCAGGACCUGCCUCUCAGGCUGCAUCCUGACCCUCCUGACAUUUCUCAAAUACAGCAGCAGACCUCAAUACUUUUUACAAAAAUCACCAAAAGCUAAUCAACAACAGGCAGAUAGCCCAUGUCAGCCGUUGUUUCAUGUGCUAUUUCAGCUCCGUGUGUAUUUUUUCACCCUCCCAGAUGAAAAUACAGUAAUUAACUCCAUACAGAGGGGGGAUGGAGGGAGGAAACUCCCUUUUUUUUUUCCCUUCCCCUAGACUUGAAAAGAAAUUCUGGCAGAUAAUUUGGCUGAACAUGAAAAGGGAGAGGCUGCUUACAGCCGCCCAGAUAAAGUGCUAGGUUGGUGAGGCUUUGCGGGCUAAGUUGGUUAUUUCACGCCAUGAAAAGCAGACAUUUAUCUGUUCCCAUGGAGAUGUGAUUUCUACUAGUCAAUCAGGCACUGGGGAGGUCAGACAAUAGCCAGUGGUUCCCUUUUUCAUCUCAAGAGACAGUCCAUUCCUGUUCUAUUGUAACAUUUCACCUACAUUUAAAGGAAUCUAAAUGAUCUCUCCGAAAUACCUGCAGACGCAGCCAUUAUAUUUUCAAGUGAUCAAAAUUAGCAGACAUUCCAGCUGCCUCAGAGGUAGACGGGGCGUGCCCCCCACCCCCCAGUUUCAGAUCAUAGGUUGUUCCAGCACCAUCCUUAUUUGGAUAAUUUUGGCUUCCACACUUGAUCCUUCCCUCCUGAAUAAAAUAAUAAGGUCAUAAAUUACAUGUUAAAAUUUGGGGAGUGGGCAGAGGACUUCAAACAGAACAUCGCGGGAGCAAGAGAACGCUGCCCAGAAGAGAGCAAAGCCCAGAACUACUGCAAGUUUGAUAAACUGUAAACUUUGUUCCCGGUCACAGGACUGGGAACCGCCUGAAAACUGCACAUGCAGAAAUGAUUAGGGCUGUUAUUUGAUCUUCAGUGUUUGCUAUCAAUCCCAGAAAGCAGAUCAUGUCUAUUUGCCAAAUAUGUUUAUUUCAGUAGGUGAAUUGCAGUGUAAGCACCUAGAAACUAGGAUUCACAUAAGGACUUUGAAAAUGAUCUCCGAAGUGUCUCUUUUUCCCGCAUCAUUUUCACACAUGCCUAAGGCAGAAGAAAACGUAACGGGGGUGGGGGGCCUUCUUCGAGCUAAUUGAGAAGCAAGAGGCUAUUUCCAUGGGAUCCCAUUUGAAAACGCUGUCUGAGAGGCUUUUCCAACUCUCAGAGCAUAUUUGAGACGCAGACUGUCAAAUGUGACUUACACAGAAGGCCGUUCACAGGAUGGCAGCGUAACAGAAAACAGCAGACAGGCAAGGCCAUUAAGUAACUUCAUGCUUGUUAAUGGGAGUCACUCAAGUGCAGCUCAACUGCGCAAGGCAGGAAAGUAAACACAAAUACGACUCCUGGUUUGCCACAAGCCCGGCCUCUGUAGUGAGAGAGCUGUGACUGCGUUUCCAGCUCCUUGAAGGCAGAGAGACUCCUGCCUUUCGGGGCGGGCGGGCUGGAACAAAGACACCAACGGGGCCACCUCGGAAAGUCUUUUUGAGCAGUUUCAGCAAAUAGCAUUUAAGGGAAGGGAAAAAAACUCCAAUGUACUCAAUAAGUGUGUACAGCAAAUUUCUGUUGUGCCUGGGAAGAAGGAAAUUUGAGUUAAAGAGGAGGCCCGCUCCAUAUGCCUUGUCACAAGUACACUCACUGAAACAUUAAUUCACGAAGAGAUUGCAACAAGACCAAAACGAAAGAGGAACAGGGCCUGACAAUGUUCAGAGAAGGAAAACCGAAGAAGUAACCAUCCCCAAGUUAAAAAUGACGUGGGGAUGAAAAAAUAGGUUGCCUGUUGUAUUUGUCAUUGAAAUGCACAAUCUUGUUUACUGUUUAUCUUGAGACUCUGGGAGCUCUCCUGCUGCUUAGGAAAAAAGAGGCAAAGGUUUAGGAAGAAAUGCUAGUCAUAAGAAAGAGAGGCAUUAGAAACCCUAGAGAGAAUGGGAGGUGUAAAUAGUAUGUGGGCAUUUGGCAAUCACCACAAAGAAAUGGGAGACAAAGGCAAGUGUCUGAUGCCAGAAAUCCUAAAAACUUGAGUGGAAAACCCAGACACAAUAAAAAUGUCCAAAAGAAAAAAAAGGCAAAAUCCCAUGAGAUCUUUUUUUUUCUCUGUGAUGUUACCUAAUGGAGAAAAUAAAGGUGGGUUUUGCCACAGUGAUCAUGGUGCCGUAUCCUAAAGGAAGUAGCUUCAUGAUAAGCCUUCAGAGGCUCUCUCCAGGCCAGCCCCAGCCUUAGGACAAAAUGGGACAAUCUUGGGGGACAAUUUCUUUCUCCAAAAAGGGGAUGAGAUUGGGCAGAAGAAACACUUGCAGGGCAGAGUUAUUAUCUCUCUCCCCGAAGAGUUUAAUCAAUUGUGGUCAUUUACAGAUCUCUGUCGUUGUCCUUUUCUCUCUCCCUCUUUCUUUUUCUUUCUUUCUUUCUUUCUUUCUUUCUUUCUUUCUUUCUUUCUUUCUUUUUCUUUCUUCUUUCUUUCUUUUUCUUUCUCUCUCUUUCUUUUUUUCUUUUCUUCUUUCUUUCUGAUGACUUUGCCUUGAAAGGAAUUGCUUAGGAAAGAGGGAAAAGGCAUUUUUAGUCAAAAGCUAAGCUAAGAUCAAAUUAAAUCGGGCAAUGGAAACCUCCUCUGGAGGCUGUGCAGUAGAGUGUGACACCUCCUAAUUUCAUGACUUGGGCAGAUUGCUUCAUUUUCCUACUGUAAAAAAAAGGAAAACGAUAAUAACAGGUAAUGUUUAUUGAACUCCUACAUGGAAUAAGUAUUUUAUACACAGAUCCAUUUCACCCUCUGAAUCUAAUGAGGUAGUAUAAUUAUUAUCUCCGUUUUAUAGAUGAGUGGAGGCUCAGAUCACCCAGCUAGAAAAUGGAGAUAGAAUAUAAUUCUAGAUCAGGGGUUAGCAAUGACCGCCUGAGGGCCAAAUUCUGCUCAGUAUGUGUUUUUGUAAAUAAAGUUUUAUUGGAACCUAGACUUAUUUGCUUAUAUAUGGCCUGUGGCUGUUUUUCAGCUGUAAUAGCAGACACUGUAUGACCCAUGAAACCCAAAAAUUUACUCUUUACAAAAACCUUUACAGAUUUUUGAUCUAGAUUAUCCUAGCCCGUGCUCUUAAUCUCACAUAUGUCCUGCUCCAAAAAUACCUUUUUUUUUUUUUUUUUUGAGGUGAUGUCUCCCUCUGUAGCCCAGGCCGGAGUGCAGUGGUGUGAUCUUAGCUCACUGCAUCUCCACCUCCCAGGUUCAAGCCAUUCUUGUGCCUCAGCCUCCCAAGUAGCUGGGACUACAGGCCUGUACCACCACGCCCGGCUAAUUUUUGUCUUUUUGGUAGAGAUGGGGUUUCUCCAUGUUGGCCAGGCUGGUCUCGAACUCCUGACCUCAAGUGAUCCACCAGCCGCGGCCUCCCACAGUGCUGGGAUUACAGGUGUGAGCCACCACGCCUGGCUAGAAAAAUGCCUCAUUUUAAAAAUGUGAUGCUGACCAGGAAAAACAAAACUAAAAUGUCAAAAGUAAUAAUAGUUAUUAGAUAACUGAAUCUAUUAGGGGUCCAGGAAAAUUAAAAACAAAACAAAGUUUUUAAAAUUUGUGUUCCCCCUUUCUCCUUUUUUUCCGCCAAAACUUGAAAAUGUUUAUAUCCUGAAUUUACAACAAAGGAAAAACCUUUUCUGCCUCAUCAGCUUUAUUGAAACUACAUAUAAAUGCUUAUCUAAAAACCAAAAGUAUAUGCUAGGGAAAUUUCCAAAAUAAUGAAAAAAAUGGUUUUCCAGAAGACAAACAUUAUUUUUCAUAUAUAUUAUUUUAUUUAUUUAUUUAUUCCGAUAAGCAUUUUGCACUUAUUUAUUUAUUUAUUGACACAGGGUCUCACUCUGUUGCCCAGGCUGGAGUGCAGUGGCAAAAUCAUGGCUCACUACAGCCUCGACCUCCUGGGCUUAAGUGAUCCUCCUGCCUCAGCCUCUGGAGUAGCUGGGACUACAGACAUGCACAUCACCCCACCUCACAUAUAUGUUAUUGGCAAAAUUGCAAGUAGAAUACAUUGUUAAAGUAAGAAGCUUCCAUGUUUGAAUGUGAUAUUUACAGAUAGGUAAACUGGGGAUUGGCUCUUGGAAAUUGAUUCGUGUUGCCAUGUGAGCUAAAUUGCUGUUUUCAGUGUUCUAAUAUGGCUUAAUUUUUCAUGGGUUUCCAGGAUCGAUGAAUGUAGCCACAUAACAUAUCCAGGUUUUAAAAAUGUUAGUGAACAAGAUUAAUAAUAGUAUCUUCUGUCUGGGCACACUGGCUCACGCCUGUAAUCCUAGCACUUUGGCGGCUGAGAUGGGAGGAUUUCUUGAGGCCAGGAGUUCGAGACCAGCCUGGUCAAUAGAGUGAGACUCCUUCUCUAUUUAUAAAAAGAAAAUUUAAGGCCGGGCAUGGUGGCUCACACCUAUUAUCCCAGCACUUUGGGAGGCCGGGGCAGGCAGAUCACUUGAGGUCAGGAGUUUGAGACCAGCCUGGCCAACAUGGCAAAACCUGUCUCUACUAAAAUAUAAAAAUUAGCUGGGCAUGGGGUGGCACAUGCCUGUGAUCCCAGCUACUUGGGAGGUUGAGGCGGGAGAAUCGCUUGAACCCAGGUGGUGGAGGUUGCAGUGAGCCAAGAUCGUGCCAUUGCACUCCAGCCUGGGCGACAAGAGUGAGACUCUGUCUCGAAAAUAAAAAAUAAAAUAUAAAAUAUAAAAAUAAAAAUAAAUAAUAUCUUCUGUGUUUCCAAAAUUCCAGGCCCCUUGCUCUGAGUUCUGAAUAUUCUAUGCCAAGCCUUCCUGAUAACUCUAUAAGGCAGAUGUCAUUUUCAUUUUCUAGAUAAGAACGAGGCCCAGGUACACCAGGUGCCUCAUCUAAUACAUGGCUGAAUGACCUCAAAUCCCAUACUUUUUUUUUCCUCUAAGAGGAGGCCUGUGUUCGAUUGUUCGUCUUUUCAUUCAGGCAAAUUCUUACCUACUUCAGAGCAUACCAGGUGCCAGGCACUGCCCUGUGUUCUGGGAAUCCGGGAGUGAACAAGACAGAUAGUAACUCAGUUGUAGUCAAUGAACAGGAUAUUUUCAGGUGAAGAGGAGGAAUGCUAGGAAGGAAACGACACGGGAUAGAAGAGACAGAAAGUGAUCAAAGUUGGGUGCAGCAAUAGGGGCCGCAGAGGCUAAGGAAGAGGCUUGAAUGAUGAACGCAAGCCACGAGGUGAAGAUCUAGACCCCUGAAGAGAGUUCCAGGCAGAGGAAACAGCAAAGCCUCCCUCCCUCCCUCCCUCCCUCCCUUCCCUCCCUCCCUCUCUCCCUCCCUCUCUCUCUCCCUCCCCCUUCCCGCCUGCCUGCCUGCCUUUCUUCCUUCCUUUUUUUGAGACAGGAUCUCUCUCUGUCACCCAGGUGGGAAUACAGUGGCGCGAUCAUGGCUCACUGCAUCCUCAAUCUCCCAGGCUCAGGUGAUCCUCCCACCUCAGCCUCCCAAGUAGCUGGGACUACAGGCACGUGCCACCAUUCCCCACUACUUUUUGUAUUUUUUUGUAGAGAUGAGUUUUUGCCAUGUUGCCCAUGCUGGAGCCACAUUUCUUGAAGUGGGAGACAUCGUGGUAUGUUGAGAAAAUAUGUUGAUUCUUUAUGACUUUUCCCAAUUCAGGAGUCACUUAACCCUUGUCCAAGCUUGAGGGUCUUAGGUGCUGCUUUCUUUUUUUAUUUUUAAACUUUCUAUUAUUGUUAUUUUUGAGACAGUCUUGCUCUGUCGCCCAGGCUGGAGUGCAGUGGCGCGAUCUCAGCUCACGGCAAACUCUACCUCCCGGGUUCAAGUGAUUCUCAGCUUCCCUGAGUACCUGGGACUACAGGCAUGCGUUAGGUGCUGCUUUCUAAGUGCCAAGGUUACCUGAGGGUUUGUCCUCAGGUCUAUGAAAUGUGGCUCUGAUUUCCUAACAUCUUUCUUUCUCUUUCCCUUUGUCAGACAGGGGAGCAAGGUGUUCCUCAUUCAUUUGUGAUUGGAAACAGUAAGUUACCAGUCACUGAGUACAUGCUGUGUAUUGUGCUAACUGCUUAGUUGUAUUACCUUAUUUAAUCUGCAAACAACCCAAUGGAAUAUUGUGGAAUAGUAGUCUUAAAACAGAAGCAUGCCCCCUCUAUCUUCCUUUCUCCGCCAUCGUGGUGUGCGCUUGACUCUGCUUCUUGCCAUGUCUUCUCACAAGACUUUCAGGAUUAAGCGAUUCCUGCCAAGAAACAAAAGCAGGCUGGGCGCAGUGGCUCACGCCUGUAAUCCCAACACUUUGGGAGACUGAGGUGGGUGGAUCAUGGGGUCAGGAGUUCAAGACCAGCCUGGCCAAUAUGGUGAAACCCUGUCUCUACUAAAAAUACAAAAAUUAGCUGGGCAUGGUGGUGCAUGCCUGUAAUCCCAGCUACUUGGAGGCUAAGGCAGGAUAGUUGCUUGAACCGGGACCCGGGAGGUGGAGGUUGCAGUGAGUCGAGAUUGCGCCACUGCACUCCAGCCUGGGCUACAGAGCAAGACUCCGUCUCAAAAAAAAAAAAAAGGAACAAAAGCGAAAUCGUUCCAAUCCCCAGUGGAUUCAGAUGAAAACUGGUAAUAAAAUCAGGUACAGGUCAGGCAUGGUGGCUCACGUCUGUAAUCUGAGGUCAGGAGUUCAAGACCAGCCUGGCCAACAUGGUGAACCCUCAUCUCUACUAAAAAUACAAAAAAAUGGCCAGGCAUGAUGGCUCACACCUGUAAUCCCAGCACUUUGGGAGACCAAGUCGGGUGGAUCACAAGGUCAAGAGAUUGAGACCAUCCUGGCCAACAUGGUGAAACCCCAUCUCUACUAAAAAUACAAAAAUUAGCCGGGUGUGGUGGCACGUGCCUGUAAUCUCAGCUACUCAGGAGGCUGAGGCAGGAGAAUAGCUUGAACCCGGGAGGCGGAGGUUGUGGUAAGCCGGGAUUACGCCACUGCACUCCAGCCUGGCAACAGAGUGAGACUCCAUCUCAAAAACAAACAAACAAACAAACAAACAAACAAAAAAAUUAGCCAGGUAUGGUGGCAUGCUCCUGUAAUCCCAGCUACUCGGGAGGCUGAGGCAGGAGAAUCACUUGAACCCAGAGGGUGGAUGUUGCAGUGAGCCGAGAUCGCGCCAUUGCACUCUGGCCUGGGCUACAAGAGUGAGACUCUGCUUCAAAAAAAAAAAAAUCAGGUACAACUCUGAAAGGUGACAUUGGAGAAGAACCUUAUAGACAUUGGGUCUAUAAGGAAUUGCACACGAGAUAGCAUAUAUUUAUGCUGUAUCAAGGUCAUGAUGAUCUUACCAUAUCAAGCUGAAAAUGUCACCACUAUUUGAACCAUCGGACAUGUUUUAUUGGGAAUGUAUUUUUUCUGUUUGUAUGCUCUGAGCUAGCAGGCUGGGUUCAGUAAUAAAUAUGUGAGAAAUUUUGUUUGAAAAAAACAAAAAACAGGAGCAUGCUGUACUGAUUUAAGAGGAUUAAUUUCUAGAAUCUACAUGUUCAUGCUUAUAUUUACUUAUUCCGAUUCCAUGUGGGUCUGGGUGGGACACGAGGAUCUGCAUUUUUAACUAGCUUUUGGGGGAUGCCAAUGCUUCUGUUUUAUAGAACACACUUUGAUUAGCAUCAUUCUAUACCAGAAGUUGACAAACUUUCUCUAUAAAGGGCCAAAUAGUUAAUAUUUUCAGUUUUGUAGGCCCUGAAAUCUUUGUUACAAGUACUCAAUUCUGCUAUUGCAGCAGGCAGAAACAUGUAAAUGGAUGGAUGUGGCUGUGUUCUAAUAAAACUUUAUGUAUUUUUUAUUUUUUGUUGAGACGGAGUCUCGCUCUGUGGCCCAGGCUGCAGUGCAGUGGCGCAAUCACAGCUCACUGCAAGCUCCGCCUCCCAGGUUGACUCCAUUCUCCUGCCUCAGCCUCCCGAGUAGCUGGGACUACAGGCGCCCGCCAGCAUGUCUGGCUAAUUUUUUUGUAUUUUUAGUACAGACGGGGUUUCAUCUUGUUAGCCAGGAUGGUCUCGAUCUCCUAACCUCGUGAUCCGCCCGACUUGGCCUCCCAAAGUGCUGGAAUUACAGGCGUGAGCCACCGCACCCGGCCAAAAACUUUAUUUAUAAAAACAGAUGGUGGGCCAGAUUCCUUGCAGUUGCAGUUUGCUGACUCUUGGCUUAGACCAAUCAUGGUUCAUCUCCUGGACUCAUCUCCUCUGAAUAUAUUGCUGACUAAAGGCUGAACCAGUAGGGAUUCUCCUAGUCAAGGAAGACAUAGGUGAGGAUUCCUGAGAAGCAUGUCAAUUCCUGUGAUCUAAGCCAUUGGCAUGGAGCAAUUCUUAGGUUAUUUUUGGUGGAGGUAAGUGUUAGUGAUUCCCCCACAACCUAGCUACAGUUUAUCAUAAAAUCAAAUCUUGGCUGGGCGCGGUGGCUCACGCCUGUAAUCCUAGCACUUUGGGAGGCCGAGGUGGGUGGAUCACGAGGUCAGCAUUUCGAGACCAGCCUGGCCAACAUAGUGAAACCUCUUCUCCACUAAAAUUACAAAAAUUAGCCAGGCUUGGUGGCGGGCACCUGUAAUCCCAGCUACUUGGGAGGCUGAGACAGGAGAAUGGCUUGAACCCAGGAGGCGGAGGUUGCAGUGAGCCGAGACCACACCAUUGCACUCCAGCCUGGGUGACAGAGUAAGAUUCCGUCUCAAAAACUCAAUCAAUCAUUCAAUCAAAUGUCAGUCCAAAUUCUGCUACUCUUUUUGUUUUUUUCUUUUUUUUUUUUUGAAACAAGAGUUUCGCUCUUGUUACCCAGGCUGGAGUGCAAUGGAGUGAUCUUGGCUCACUGCAAUCUCCCCCUACCAGGUUCAAGAGAUUCUCCUGCCUCAGCCUCCCAAGUAGCUGGGAUUACAGGCACCCACCACCACGCCUGGCUAAUUUUUGUACUUUUAGUAGAGAUGGGGUUUCACCAUAUUGGCCAGGCUGGUCUCGAACUCCAGACCUCAGAUGAUACACCUACCUCGGCCUCCCAAAGUGCUGGGAUUACAGGAGUGAGCCACUGCGCCCGGCCCAAAUUCUACUACUCUUAUAGCCAAAUAUUUAUUAGCAAAGCAGGCACAAAACAGUUCAUACAACCUGUUCUGAAAGGUUGUUGACAAAGUCCCAGCAUUUUGUUCUUUUUUUCCUUUAUUAUUAUCUUUAUUAUUAAAUUUAAUUUAGUUUUUGGCUGGAAUCAAAUGACUGGUAUAUUAUUAUUUUCAAUUGACACAUAAUAGUGAUACAUAUUCAUGGGGUACAGCGUGACAUUUCACUACAUGUAUACAAUGUGUAAUAAUCAAAUCGGGAUAAUCAGCAUAGCCAUCACCUCUAACAUUCAUAAUUUCCUCGUGUUGUGAACAUUCAGAAUCCACUCUUGUAGCUAUUUGAAAAUAUAAAAUAAAUUGUUGUUAAUGAUAGUCAUCCUAUGUACCCUAUACAGCCUAGCACUCCGUUCUUAUAGGUGCUCUGGUCACACCCUGCAGGAAGGGUGUAUUCAAAGCAGGCAUAACAACAUUCCAAAAGCUGGGCCCUGUGCUCUCUGGCCUGUAUGAGGCAAUCAGAAAUUCUCUUAAACCAGUGACUGGAACAGAAUCAGUUAGUGAAUGAGGCAGGGAAGGGUAUAGGUGAAGGGUAAAGGGUUGCAUCCUGUAUCACAUUCUAGUCAAUCUACUUGUCCUGAGUACCUUAAUUCCACCAAUGAAAAUCCAUUUGUAAUAUCGUCAUGCAAAUUAACUAGUCACUAGUUUCACCAAUAGAAACCCUAUUCCUGAACUGCAGGAAGCACUCGCAAUACCUGUGGCCGGAGUGUGGACCUUUCUAACAUUGUGCUUGCGAACCAUCCUGAACAACAUAUUCUUCAUUGCUGAUUAGCUGACCCCUCUUAUUAUACAGCCAAGCUUAGACUCACUGUAUGGAUAGUUUAGCUCGCUGAUUAAUUACACUGAAGUAUGUUCAAGUAAAGUACAGAUCUGGUAACCAACUAUGUCUACUACAGGGCUUGUGGCAAGGAUAGGGAUGAUGUGGUUAAAAUCCUGGCAGACAGUGGGCACUUAUUUAAAAAAAAAGAGAGGAAUAAAGAGUGCUAUGACUGCUGUUCAGAGAACUUGUCAGAAGUAAAGUAAUACCAGUCUGCGUGUGUGUGUGCGUGUGUGUGUGCAUGUGUGUCUGUGUGUGUGCGCAUCUGUGUGUGUGAGUGUGUGUGUGUGUGUGUGUGUGUGCUCUCAGCCAUAUGGCUUCCUGUGCUUUCUGUGCUUUUCUGAUUUUACAAGGUAGAGGUACAGACAAGAAAAAGGAGGCACUGAUUGGAUAAGAGCUGGGUUCAAAUCUAGUUUGUUGCUCACUAGCUGUGUAAGUUUGUCAGUUGCUAGGUAAGUUGUUAAAACUUUACAAGCAGUGGUGUAGCACAGCUCAAAGUAGAAAAUAGUGCUGUUGGUUUUCCCCUCUGCAGUUGUCAAGAAGGGGCCUCAUAUGCAACAUGGGGAUAAUGAUGGUGAUGAUUAAGUAAGAAGGCGUGUGAGACAGAGUCUACUGCCUGCACACAGCAAGCUCUUGGUAAAUGUUGUCUGCCAUUAUCCUCAUCCCGAUUUCGCAGAUCAAGGCUUACAGAGCUUAAGUGAUGCUCUCAAAGACAGAGGCAGAGCCUGGGAAAAUAACAGCUACACAACAGUGCCACCCACACCAAAAUAAUAUAUUCCAGGGGUAUGGUGAAUCUUUUACCUAAGGCUUUUCUAGAAAUUAAGGACACCUAUCAGUGAUUUGAGUCUUACAUUUAAAUGACAACGUUGAAAAAGUAUUUAAACAGGGUCUUUGGCCAGUGUAGGCUGCAUUAGAUUUAAAAAAAAAAACAGUUAUCCAAGUUCUUGCUUUUCUGUGUCCAGAAAGUUCUGAGAUUAGGGGUCUUUAUCAACUGUAGGGGGCACUUAUCCUUGGUCUCCCAUCUGAACCUGCUUGUUAAACUUGGGGAGUUUCUCCCCUGUUAUUCUUGGUAGGAAGCAGUAUUGGUUUUUCACCACAGAAACUGAAAAUGUCAAAAAUUGAUUUCCAGUCCUCCUGAGGGAUUUAGGGUCACCCAAAUCCUGUAUGAUAUCAUCUUACUCAAUUACAUCUGCAAAAAUCCUAUGUCCAAGAAGGUACCAUUCUGAGGUUCUGGGCAGACAUGAAUUUUGGGAGUAGCAGGGAGACUCUAUUCGGCUCUCUACGCCUACUAAUAAUCUUUAUUUAUUUUUAUUUUUUUGAGAUAGAGUCUUGCGCUGUCACCCAGGCUGGAGUACAGUAGUGCGAUCUCAGCUCACUAUAGCCUCCACCUCCCGGUUUCAAACAAUUCUCCUGCCUCAGCCUCUCGAGUAGCUGGGAUUAUAGGCAGCCGUCACCACACCUGGCUAAUUUUUAUAUUUUUAGUAGAGACAGGGUUUCGCCAUGUUUAAUGUGAGAAAUAUUUCAUGCCUGUAAUCCCAGCACGGCCUAUAUUUCUCACAUUUAAUGCGACCUUUGUAUGUUUCUUUCCUUUUUUUUUUCCUUUGAGAUGGAGUCUUGCUCUUGUCACCCAGGCUCGAGUGCAAUGGCACGAUCUCAGCUCACUGCAACCUCUGCCUCCCUGAUUCAAGCGAUUCUCCUGCCUCAGCCUCCCAAGUAGCUGGGAUUAUAGGCGCCCACCACCACGCCCAGCUAAUUUUUGUAUUUUUAAUAGAGAUGGGGCUUCACCAUGUUGGCCAGGCUGGUCUCGAACUCCUGAUCUUGUGAUCUGCCCGCCUUGGCCUCCCAAAGUGCUGGGAUUACAGGCGUGAGCCAGUGCGCCUGGCCAGAUCUUUGUAUGUUUCUUUGUGGAUAUAUUGAUGUAUCAGAUGGUACAGGGAGUGCUGCCCCGACCCCGCUGGAGGUGCAAUGUAAUAUCAGAUAUAGGCACCGCAUUACAUUUCUAAAAUAUAAAAAGUGUAGAAUUCCAAAGUGUAUUGGGCUAUAAGGGUUUGGAUAAUAAAUUUGGAUGUAUAUUUUACGUCAUUUUAAAGCUGAGGAAUAGAGACACUAAAUACCAGCGCCGGUGAGUGACAGUGCCUGGACUGGAAUCCAGGGAUCGGAGUUCUGAGUUGAGUCUCUAACCACUAGGCUCUCUUAAGAGAGGUAGACUGAUGCUUAUUAACUGCAUGAACGAAGGAGUAAAGGAGGCUGACUGGGCCUUGUUCCAAUUCCUGGGCUGUUUUGCCUGCUGCUAGGGAGAUUCCUAUCUUUCUCUGGCAGAACAUCUUUCUAAGCCCCGUGCUGCAGCUGUAAGUGUGCGUGCGAAACAUGCAUGGACACACACCACACACACACAGACUCACACCUUGGAGAGGAGCUGCAUGCUGUUAUAUUUCCUGGAGCUUUGUGGCUGCCUGUUGUUUCAGCGAUCUCAUCUUUAUGAAUGAGGCGACAGAACCCACUAGUAACCAGGCGAGGGAGUGAAAACAGAUGCUUUUCCAGCCAGGCAGGGCUGUGCUGAGCAGUUUGUCACUGGUUAAACCUCUGUCUCCAUCAAGACACACUCCCUGUAAAAAAUGAUUACCGUUCUCUCUCUCUGACUUUAGGAACUGCUCCGGUCCUGAAAACUCAAAGUCACAGCUAACAGGAAAAGGAUAAUUUGUCUGUUGGAUACUUAGACCAGAAUAAGGCAAUGGGGUACAGUGAUGCUAUUUCUGAAAGUGUGAAGGCCUAAUUUCCUCCAGCCAAGAGAGGAAGUGAGCCUGCUUUGCGUGCUUGAAAGCUUCCUUGAGAGGAGGUGAGGUUGCCUCUAGAAGGCAGUGGAAAAUCAACGUGGUUUUAAGUGAGCAAAAGUCUUCAAAAAAGCCUCAGGAAUAAGAUAGGCUAUAGGUUUGGCCAAGGACAGACCAUCAAGCAAUAUUGUUGAUUGAAACACAGUUGUAGAAAGGUGAAUACUGUAUGAUUUCCUCUACGUUUAAAAAAAGGACAUGUAUCUGCACGUGUGUGUGUGUGUUUAGAUGUGUAAAAAUAUUUAAAAAAGGACGAGAAGAAUACUCUCUUACCAUUAACACAGGAAGUAAAUAAAAAAUGGGGUGGGGGUGGGGAAAGCCAUGUCAGAGGGAGAGAAGGGUGAGUUUCUAUUUUCAGUCAUAUAUACUACAGUGUUUUUCCUUUACUUCUGUAAUCUAAAAUAAAAAUAAAUAAAGUCAACUGGCAAAAGCAAACACCCAAGCAAACAACUACAUAAUAAACAGAAAGCCCUUUAAUUUCUAAGAAUCAGGAGGCUUCAGAACAUGAAAGAACUUCCUGGUUCGAGGCAUUCCUCGUGAAAUCAUGUUUGGAAGCCAAUCUGGAAUUCUACCCCGCCCGGAACGAGGUAGACUCCAUAAAGCAGUAUUGAAAUUUCCCUGUUGAACAAAAAAUAAAUGUUUGAUGCUUUCUCUCGACCUCUGUUUAAAGUUAUUAACUCUUCUUUUAUUUAACUUUUAUUAAAGUUAUUAACUCUUCUUUCAGCUUACUGCUGUGGUGGUGUGUGUGUGUGUGUGUGUGUGUAUGUGUGUAUGUGUAUUUAAAGCAUAGGAAACAUCCAAAUGACUAAUGUUGUUUACAUUCUAUUCUUUAAAAUACACAUCAUACUAGAUGAAAGCAUAAAACAAUAUCUUUAAAUAUUAAAGAAAAACAAUCCUGUUUAAAAACCAGCCUCUUCCAGAGCCUAAGAGAGAUACACUAGGCCCUUGAGGAUGCUUGAGACUGUGCGCAAAAAAAUUGGGGUCUUUGGUUACUCUAUUGUAAAACAAUCAGGUUGCAUUCUGGCUUUUAGAUUGUUUUAAGUGAAGUUUCACUACUUGCUUGUUACUUUUGUUUAACUUAUUCCUUAUAAAUUGGGUUAAGUAGAAAAUAGGAAGAGAAAGAGGAGCCCAAGGAAGGUGGUGAUGGUAGGUAAAGCUGGGAACAGGCACCCCCCUUCUGCCUCAUCUCCACUUGCAGGGACACCAGUAAUUCAACAAAUGGUGGCUGCCGGCAACACCUCCGGUUGAGAAGCUUUCCUGGUUAUGAACCUGAAACAGGCUUUUCUUAGGAGAAGAGCAUACUUAAUUACUGGAAUCUCAAUCACAUGCGCUGAAAGAAUAAAUGACCAGCAUGGGCAGAUUUUGAUUAAGACUUGUCAAGGGGGAAAUGAUUUUCUUAAGUUUGGGAUUUUUAACUUUAUAAGAUAGUCUUCUUGUUGGCAAAAUUCGUCAGUGUCUCUGGGGCUUUCAGGCUACAGGAUUGUGUUAGAAACAGUCUGUGUGCCAUCACCUUUUAGAAUAUGUCCAUAUUAAAUGAGGCUCAAACAAAAAACAUUUUGUUUCUAUAUAUCAAAUAAAAUAAAGAAAAGGUCCUUUGAAAGCUUGAUCGAAACGUUAGGUUUUGUUACUGUCCUUUUCAAAGCACUAUUAUCAUAUUAUUUCUUAUUCGAUUCUCUUAGCAACCCGGGAGGUUGUCAGAGUAAACAAUCUUCGUGUUAUAGAUGCGGGAGAAAAUGCAUAAAAGGCUAACUCAUGCAUGUAAACAAUUGGUCAGAGAGUUUAGGAUUCCUAGUCUGUUUUACUCAACCUUUCAGUGAGGGCGAGUAUAGUUCCUAGCAGGUUGUAUUCAAGCAUCUCCUCCAGGAUUCAUCUUGUACUAAAAGUUAUGGAAAAAAUCUCGAUAA
rnacentral:lncRNA from 1 species